UCUCUCUGAAUCUGCGAACGGCUCCGCAAACCAGUUGUAAACCAUAGCAGGCACGCCUCGGCGGGGACCCCGGUCGCAAGGCCGGACCCACUCCUUGGCUAUAGGGAUAACCCUGGUAAUUCUGAGGCUAAUACAUGAACGUACACCCCGGCUGACGGGUUAAACCGGAUGUCGGGGACCGGGUGGGCCAUGCCGCAAGAAUUUUACCUAGGAGUAGCCACACAGUAAGACCAUCAUACCAAACGUUCCUCGCUUCGCUUGGGGGCUUGCCCCCUCGUUCGGCGUGUGUUCGGGUGGCCCCUGCUGGGUGCUUCUGACCUAUCAACUAGAUGGCAGCGUAAGGGACAUGCUAUGGUGACAACGGGUACAGAGGAUAAGGGUUCGAUCCUGGAGAGUGGGCCUGAGAGAUU
rnacentral:rRNA from 1 species